rnacentral:rRNA from 1 species
CCCCUAGACGUUCUGGGCUGCACGCGCGCUACAAUAAUACGCACAGCGAGUAUCACCGAGCUCGAAAGGGCAAGGUAAACAAUAGAAAAGGUACUGUAAUGGUUAUAGAUCCUUGUAAUUAUUGAUCUUCAACGAGGAAUUCCUAGUAAGUAUGUGUCAUCAUCACGCACUGAUUACGUCCCUGCCCUUUGUACACACCGCCCGUCGCUCCUACCGAUUGGGUGAGCCGAUGAAACUCUCGGAUGUAGGCGAUUCAUAGCCCGCAGAAGAGAUUUGAAUCGUAGCGCUUAGAGGAAGGAGAAGUCGUAACA